rnacentral:lncRNA from 1 species
CCCCACUUAGGGUUGCUGGGGUGAUCAGGCCCAGAAACCCAAAGUUGGGGCUCCCAGGGGUGGAGCCUUUUACUCUUUAAAGAUUUCUUUGCAGAAUAGGCACCAGGCACCUGUUACUGCCAGGCAUAACAGGGAAGGUAUACAAGGGAUGCAAUGCCGGGGGACGCCCCCAUCACCCCUUGCUAUAGGAACCCCACAGUAGGAACAAUGGGUAGGACGCUGCCCUAGGUUCAGGGGGGAUUUUUCAAGGUAAUGGACCCGUUUCUUUUGUCUCUCUUGGAGUUACAAUGGCCAUUUUCAUCUCCUUUUGAACUUUGCAACUGGGAAACAAAGAAAUCUUUAAAGAAUAAAAGGCUCCACCCCUGGGAGCCCCAACUUUGGGUUUCUGGGCCUGAUCACCCCAGCAACCCUAAGUGGGGGUGCCCUUUAUUCCUUCUGGAAGAAAGGCCCUGGGCCAUGGUUCCUCAUAAAGCUUUGUUUAAUUUUCUCUUGCUGUUCUGUCUCAUGUGAAUUUAAUUCGUUCUCCGGCCGGACGAACCCGCAUUUGGGAAGAGGAAAUGUCUUCCUCCCCUACAGUUUUGGUGCAGUCGGCAGAAUAAAAUUUCACUGGCCGGUAACUGCUUGCUCCUGGACUGCUGUGGCCAAGAGAUCCCGGACCCCUGUCGAGAGCCGGCAAGAGAGGGAUUAAUGGAAAGGACUGACACUUACUCUGGAACAGUUUUUUGAUAAACUUUCGGAUCAUAGAACUGAACUGGGUGGAUAAGAAAUUACAGAAAUCUAAUGGAGAAACUGAUGACACCAUAAAACUGCUAACAGAAGAUUAAGAUCAAGAACCGAUUAUACAGGACUGAAUGAACUGAGGAUGAUUAUAAUUUUUAUGACUUUUAUUUGAAAUAUUGUUGAUUUUUGAUGUUUUGCUUUGUUUUUUCAGAUUCAAAGAAAAUCUUUUUCUCUUUUUUUCUUGUGCUAACUAUGACUUUUGGCAAUUUGGUGAAAUUAUACCUUUGUGAGCAAAACUGAAAUAUUUGUCUUUUUCUCCCUACCUGAUCCCUCCAGAAUUUGGAAACUCUUUGUGAGUAUGGUUAUUUCAUGGCAAUAUAGUUAUUUGCAGAAGUUCAAUAAGAAUCUGUUCUCCUUAUAACAGGACAUUGGUUAUCUUGCCAAAGCUUUGACUGGAAUGUCAUAUUUGAAACAUACAGGCUCAGAUAUGACAAUACUGCCUUUGAGGAAUAAGGUUGACUUUCUGGAAAUAAAGCCACUUGGAAAUAUGGGACUGGUACCUUGUUUACAGAGAUUCCAGCAAUCUUACCUGGUAAGUAAGGAAGCUUGCUUAUCUGGCAGAUAUAAGGAAACUUGGAAUAUUUUGGGGGACCUCAAGAAGAGAGGAAUCCACCCAAAUCUGUAGGUACUGCAGGCAAAAUCUGAUGGCAAGUCCUUAGCUUGGCUUUGCUGGCCUCGAGAGGCCUUUACAGUUCAAUCCGAGAUUCCUCAUAAAGAAUUCCAGCAAAGCAGAUUAAAGAGCCUAUAUGAUCAAUUGCUAUUCUUGCUGCACUUAUGUAAAUAAUUGGGCCAAGUUUCUUGAAACUAAACUUAUUUUGCAAACCAGUUAGUCUUAAUUUGGCUGUCUUUGGUAAAAAAAAAAAUGAGAGUGAUUUUAGAGAGAAGAACUAUGUUUCAGUGAAAAACUAUAAGGCAUAUUUGUGGAUGUUAGAUCCUAGUUCUGUUAAUUUUCUUUGAGAUUUUUUUUUUUCUACCUGUGAACUGGACUGGAUCCUGAAUUCAUCUGCUGAAAUACCUGGUUACACAUCUCCAAACUAAUGUUUUUAAUCUUUUCCUCAUUUUCAUUUGGAAUCAUUGAGAAUUGAACCUGCACUUUUUCAUGAAGCCUUGCUAACUAAAGCUGGACAACUUGAUAGAAACUUAACAGAGAUUCCUGUCUGUUGCUGUGUAUCCUGUAAGCCACUCAGAAAGAUACCUGAUUGCCCGAUGACAUCAUCAGAGACAUUUCAAGCUGCUAAAGAUGCUUCACUCUGACACCUAGAAGUCGUCUUAACUGGCUGUCUCCUGGACUCAGGAACUAGUUUAUAAUUUGCUCCAACCAUUAACCUUGUUUUUCUUUUAUUUCCAUAGAAAUACUUAUUAAAUACCUGAUUGCUUGUUUCCAAAAUAUAGGACUACCUUUGGGAGCCCACCUGCAUCGCCUCCCUCUAAAAUGACUUUAACUGGACUGAUCUAUUACCAGGACUAAGAAAUGUGUUCAGUGAGAUGAAACAAUCUACCACUCAGCUUCUGGAUUGUGAAACUUAAAGUUUCAAAGGCGGGACUGUGGGGACCUGAAAUUGGCCACCCCAAGAUAUGUCUCUUUGGCAUCAGGAUUAUUUGAGGCUGAUUGAUUUUGAUAAACUGGGACAGGGAAGGAGGCUCUGAGGAAUGGAAUUUGCCCUUCGUUAGGACACAUUUACAUUUGUAAGGUAAAUCUCUAUCUGCAAAAGGUGCCCCCACUCUCUGUACCAGGAAGAUGAAAGGAGAUGAUCUUCUCUCUAGAAACUCUUAAUCAAUACCAAAGGCAAGGACUUAAAUCUGCAUUUUAUUGUGCUUCUCUGGUAACCUCCUGUAACUGACUUCCCUCCCCCUCCAACGUUGGCAUUUCUUUAAGGAUUAAGCAUCUUUCCUUAGGCUAGGAACUGAUUGUUGCGCUCACUUGUGACCGCCCAGCUCCAGAGGAUAGACUUUCCUCCUGCUACGCCCACUGAGAUAGCAGACCACUACCUGCUGUGUCCAUCAAGCACUGUGCUGACAGGGCAAUCUUGUGACUAUUGUGGGAGCGACAUUUCAAUCACAUGUGAAACACCCCAUUUAGGGGUAUCUAACCACUCUGUGCACCCCAGUUCUUCGGUGCCCUUUCUUCCUUUGGGAAGAAAGGCCCUGGGCCAUGGUUCCUCAUAAAGCUUUGUUUAAUUUUCUCUUGCUAUUCUUUCUCAUGUGAAUUUAAUUCAUUCUCCGGCCAGAUGAACCCCCAUUUGGGAAGAGGAAAUGUCUUCCUCCCCUACACUAACUUCCUGUCUCAGACACCCUAACUUCUUAGGUUUGUUGUAACAAUUCCUCUUUGCCUCUGAGUUCUUAUGUAACACUCUCCUUUGCAUGUCUGAUGUCAUGGGUAAAAUUCCACCUGGCAUCUCUGGCUUUGUGUGUCACACUCCCUAUGGUGUCUCUGACUUGGUCUGUCACAC